CACUCCUACGGGAGGCAGCAGUGGGGAAUAUUGCACAAUGGGCGCAAGCCUGAUGCAGCCAUGCCGCGUGUAUGAAGAAGGCCUUCGGGUUGUAAAGUACUUUCAGCGGGGAGGAAGGCGAUAAGGUUAAUAACCUUGUCGAUUGACGUUACCCGCAGAAGAAGCACCGGCUAACUCCGUGCCAGCAGCCGCGGUAAUACGGAGGGUGCAAGCGUUAAUCGGAAUUACUGGGCGUAAAGCGCACGCAGGCGGUCUGUCAAGUCGGAUGUGAAAUCCCCAGGCUCAACCUGGGAACUGCAUUCGAAACUGGCAGGCUAGAGUCUUGUAGAGGGGGGUAGAAUUCCAGGUGUAGCGGUGAAAUGCGUAGAGAUCUGGAGGAAUACCGGUGGCGAAGGCGGCCCCCUGGACAAAGACUGACGCUCAGGUGCGAAAGCGUGGGGAGCAAACAGGAUUAGAAACCCCAGUAGUCCCAUG
rnacentral:rRNA from 1 species